rnacentral:rRNA from 1 species
UACGUAGGGUGCAAGCGUUAAUCGGAAUUACUGGGCGUAAAGCGUGCGUAGGCGGCUAUGUAAGACAGAUGUGAAAUCCCUGGGCUUAACCUAGGAACUGCAUUUGUGACUGUAUAGCUAGAGUGUGGUAGAGGGAGAUGGAAUUCCGCAUGUAGCAGUGAAAUGCGUAGAUAUGCGGAGGAACACCAAUGGCGAAGGCAAUCUCCUGGACCUGCACUGACGCUCAUGCACGAAAGCGUGGGGAGCAAACAGG